GAGUUUGAUCGUGGCUCAGAACGAACGCUGGCGGCAGGCUUAACACAUGCAAGUUGAACGCGUGUAGCAAUACACGAGUGGCGCACGGGUGAGUAACGCGUGGGAAUAUGCCCUUCAGUACGGAAUAACGUCGGGAAACUGACGCUAAUACCGUAUAAUGUCUACGGACCAAAGAUUUAUCGCUGAAGGAUUAGCCCGCGUUGGAUUAGCUAGUUGGUGAGGUAACGGCUCACCAAGGCGAUGAUCCAUAGCUGGUCUGAGAGGAUGAUCAGCCACACUGGGACUGAGACACGGCCCAGACUCCUACGGGAGGCAGCAGUGAGGAAUAUUGGACAAUGGGGGCAACCCUGAUCCAGCCAUGCCGCGUGAGUGAUGAAGGCCCUCGGGUUGUAAAGCUCUUUUAUCCCUGAAGAUAAUGACGGUAAGGGAAGAAAAAGCCACGGCUAACUUCGUGCCAGCCGCCGCCGUAAC
rnacentral:rRNA from 1 species